GAACGAGGGGAAUUGAAACAUCUUAGUACCCUCAGGAAAAGAAAUCAAAAGAGAUUACGCUAGUAGCGGCGAGCGAACGCGUAAGAGGGCAAACCACUAGUUUACUAGUGGGGUUGUAGGACUGCAAUAUAGACUAAACUUAGCUAAUAGAACAACCUGGAAAGGUUAGGCACAGAGGGUGAUACUCCCGUAUAUGAAAGCUUUGUUUUACUUAGCAGUAUCCUGAGUAGGGCGGAACACGUGAUAUUCUGUCUGAAGCUGGGUAGACCACUAUCCAACCCUAAAUACUACUACUAGACCGAUAGUGCACAAGUACCGUGAGGGAAAGGUGAAAAGAACUGAGGUGAUCAGAGUGAAAUAGAACCUGAAACCAUUUGCUUACAAUCAUUCAGAGCCCUAUGAUUUAUCAGGGUGAUGGACUGCCUUUUGCAUAAUGAGCCUGCGAGUUGUGAUGUCUGGCGAGGUUAAGGAAACCCGGAGCCGUAGCGAAAGCGAGUCUUAAUAGGGCGUUUAGUCAGACGUUGCAGACCCGAAACGAUGUGAU
rnacentral:rRNA from 1 species